AGGGCGAUAUCAUGUUGAAACACCUGCUUCUGUAAGAUCACUCAAGUUAAGCAACAUCGAGCCUAGUCAGUACCUAAAUGGGUGACCGCUUGGAAAUGCCAGGUG